rnacentral:rRNA from 1 species
UUAAGUUAUUAAGGGCGCACGGUGGAUGCCUUGGCACUAGAAGCCGAUGAAGGACGUUACUAACGACGAUAUGCUUUGGGGAGCUGUAAGUAAGCUUUGAUCCAGAGAUUUCCGAAUGGGGAAACCCAGCAUGAGUUAUGUCAUGUUAUCGAUAUGUGAAUACAUAGCAUAUCAGAAGGCACACCCGGAGAACUGAAACAUCUUAGUACCCGGAGGAAGAGAAAGAAAAUUCGAUUCCCUUAGUAGCGGCGAGCGAAAUGGGAAGAGCCCAAACCAACAAGCUUGCUUGUUGGGGUUGUAGGACACUCUAUACGGAGUUACAAAGGACGACAUUAGACGAAUCAUCUGGAAAGAUGAAUCAAAGAAGGUAAUAAUCCUGUAGUCGAAAAUGUUGUCUCUCUUGAGUGGAUCCUGAGUACGACGGAGCACGUGAAAUUCCGUCGGAAUCUGGGAGGACCAUCUCCUAAGGCUAAAUACUCUCUAGUGACCGAUAGUGAACCAGUACCGUGAGGGAAAGGUGAAAAGCACCCCGGAAGGGGAGUGAAAUAGAACCUGAAACCGUGUGCUUACAAGUAGUCAGAGCCCGUUAAUGGGUGAUGGCGUGCCUUUUGUAGAAUGAACCGGCGAGUUACGAUUUGAUGCAAGGUUAAGCAGUAAAUGUGGAGCCGUAGCGAAAGCGAGUCUGAAUAGGGCGUUUAGUAUUUGGUCGUAGACCCGAAACCAGGUGAUCUACCCUUGGUCAGGUUGAAGUUCAGGUAACACUGAAUGGAGGACCGAACCGACUUACGUUGAAAAGUGAGCGGAUGAACUGAGGGUAGCGGAGAAAUUCCAAUCGAACCUGGAGAUAGCUGGUUCUCUCCGAAAUAGCUUUAGGGCUAGCCUCAAGUGAUGAUUAUUGGAGGUAGAGCACUGUUUGGACGAGGGGCCCCUCUCGGGUUACCGAAUUCAGACAAACUCCGAAUGCCAAUUAAUUUAACUUGGGAGUCAGAACAUGGGUGAUAAGGUCCGUGUUCGAAAGGGAAACAGCCCAGACCACCAGCUAAGGUCCCAAAAUAUAUGUUAAGUGGAAAAGGAUGUGGCGUUGCCCAGACAACUAGGAUGUUGGCUUAGAAGCAGCCAUCAUUUAAAGAGUGCGUAAUAGCUCACUAGUCGAGUGACACUGCGCCGAAAAUGUACCGGGGCUAAACAUAUUACCGAAGCUGUGGAUUGUCCUUUGGACAAUGGUAGGAGAGCGUUCUAAGGGCGUUGAAGCAUGAUCGUAAGGACAUGUGGAGCGCUUAGAAGUGAGAAUGCCGGUGUGAGUAGCGAAAGACGGGUGAGAAUCCCGUCCACCGAUUGACUAAGGUUUCCAGAGGAAGGCUCGUCCGCUCUGGGUUAGUCGGGUCCUAAGCUGAGGCCGACAGGCGUAGGCGAUGGAUAACAGGUUGAUAUUCCUGUACCACCUAUAAUCGUUUUAAUCGAUGGGGGACGCAGUAGGAUAGGCGAAGCGUGCGAUUGGAUUGCACGUCUAAGCAGUAAGGCUGAGUAUUAGGCAAAUCCGGUACUCGUUAAGGCUGAGCUGUGAUGGGGAGAAGACAUUGUGUCUUCGAGUCGUUGAUUUCACACUGCCGAGAAAAGCCUCUAGAUAGAAAAUAGGUGCCCGUACCGCAAACCGACACAGGUAGUCAAGAUGAGAAUUCUAAGGUGAGCGAGCGAACUCUCGUUAAGGAACUCGGCAAAAUGACCCCGUAACUUCGGGAGAAGGGGUGCUCUUUAGGGUUAACGCCCAGAAGAGCCGCAGUGAAUAGGCCCAAGCGACUGUUUAUCAAAAACACAGGUCUCUGCUAAACCGUAAGGUGAUGUAUAGGGGCUGACGCCUGCCCGGUGCUGGAAGGUUAAGAGGAGUGGUUAGCUUCUGCGAAGCUACGAAUCGAAGCCCCAGUAAACGGCGGCCGUAACUAUAACGGUCCUAAGGUAGCGAAAUUCCUUGUCGGGUAAGUUCCGACCCGCACGAAAGGCGUAACGAUUUGGGCACUGUCUCAACGAGAGACUCGGUGAAAUCAUAGUACCUGUGAAGAUGCAGGUUACCCGCGACAGGACGGAAAGACCCCGUGGAGCUUUACUGUAGCCUGAUAUUGAAAUUCGGCACAGCUUGUACAGGAUAGGUAGGAGCCUUUGAAACGUGAGCGCUAGCUUACGUGGAGGCGCUGGUGGGAUACUACCCUAGCUGUGUUGGCUUUCUAACCCGCACCACUUAUCGUGGUGGGAGACAGUGUCAGGCGGGCAGUUUGACUGGGGCGGUCGCCUCCUAAAAGGUAACGGAGGCGCUCAAAGGUUCCCUCAGAAUGGUUGGAAAUCAUUCAUAGAGUGUAAAGGCAUAAGGGAGCUUGACUGCGAGACCUACAAGUCGAGCAGGGUCGAAAGACGGACUUAGUGAUCCGGUGGUUCCGCAUGGAAGGGCCAUCGCUCAACGGAUAAAAGCUACCCCGGGGAUAACAGGCUUAUCUCCCCCAAGAGUUCACAUCGACGGGGAGGUUUGGCACCUCGAUGUCGGCUCAUCGCAUCCUGGGGCUGUAGUCGGUCCCAAGGGUUGGGCUGUUCGCCCAUUAAAGCGGUACGCGAGCUGGGUUCAGAACGUCGUGAGACAGUUCGGUCCCUAUCCGUCGUGGGCGUAGGAAAUUUGAGAGGAGCUGUCCUUAGUACGAGAGGACCGGGAUGGACAUACCUCUGGUGUACCAGUUGUCGUGCCAACGGCAUAGCUGGGUAGCUAUGUGUGGACGGGAUAAGUGCUGAAAGCAUCUAAGCAUGAAGCCCCCCUCAAGAUGAGAUUUCCCAACUUCGGUUAUAAGAUCCCUCAAAGAUGAUGAGGUUAAUAGGUUCGAGGUGGAAGCAUGGUGACAUGUGGAGCUGACGAAUACUAAUCGAUCGAAGACUUAAUCAA